rnacentral:misc_RNA from 1 species
AUUAAUGUGGUAAUUUUCUUCCUUCUCCCAUGUGGUGAGCAAAGAUAGAAACCCUCACUAUGAAAACUUCAUAGCAGAUAAUGGAACUGACUAUCAUACACAAAGAGUUUUGUUCACAUCCACUUCACCUUGAUUAUUUUACACCCAUAGUCCAUUAUCAUCAGGAAUCCCCUUAAGAUUCAAAUUUGAGGUCUACAUGCACCCACACUUUUAAAGGAGCGAGCCAAACAAAAUUGCUUGUAAUAGAUAUAACUUAUGAAAACAACACACAAAUUGUACAACAA